AGUGACUUAAAUCAUUUAGAAAAUGGCUUCAUAUGAAGGAUCAUGUCUAAUUAUUUGUAAUUUUUCUUGAAAAACAACAUUUCAUAACUACACCAGACCCCUCAUCGCUUAAGGUUAGAAACUUACCCUUUUAUAAAACAAAGCUUUAUUUUCAUCAAAAAUCAUCUGCAAACGUCCCGUAGAGUUGUGGAGAAGCACUUAGCAUUAAAAUGAAACGUAAAUAUCACCUUCAGUUUUUACCCUAAAAUUACCAAAACAUGUAAGACUAUAGUCUUACCUUCAUCACUGUUUUUGGACCAUUCUUAAAUUCAAUUUAUUUUCAUGAAAAGUGACUUAAAUCAGUUAGAAAAUGGCUUCAUAUGAAGGAUUAUGUCUAAUUUAUAGUAAUUUUUCUUGAAAAAUAACAUUUCAUAACUACGCCAGACCCCUCAUCGCUUGAGGUUAGAAACUUACCCUUUUAUAAAACAAAGCUUUAUUUUCAUCAAAAAUCAUCCGCAAACGUCCCGGAAUGGUCUGGAGAAGCACUUAGCAUUAAAAUUAAACAUAAAUAUAACCUUCAGUUUUUACCCUAAAAUUACCAAAACAUGUAAGACUAUAGUCUUACCUUCAUCAGUGUUUUUGGCCCGUUGUUAAAUUCUCUCAAUUUUCAUGAAAAGUGACUUAAAUCAGUUAGAAAAUUACUUUAUAUGAAGGAUUAUGUCCAAUUAUUUGUAAUUUUUCUUGAAAAAUAACAUUUCCUAACUACACCAGACCCCUCAUCGCUUAAGGUUAGAAACCUACCUUUCUAUAAAAUACAGCGUUAUUUUCAUGAAAAAUCAUGUGAAAACAUCCCGGAACGGUGUGGAGAAGCUCUGUGUUUCCAAAUGAAACGUAAAUAUCACCUUCAGUUUUUACCCUAAAAUUACCAAAACAUGUAAGACUAUAGUCUUACCUUCAUCACUGUUUUUGGACCGUUCUUAAAUUCUUUUUAUUUUCAUGAAAAGUGACUUAAAUCAGUUAGAAAAUGUCUUUAUAUGAAGGAUUAUGUCCAAUUAUUUGUCAUUUUUCUUGAAAAACAACAUUUCCUAACUACACCAGACCCCUCAUCGCUUAAGGUUAGAAUCUUACCUUUCUAUAAAAUACAGCUUUAUUUUCACUAAAAAUCAUCUGCAAACGUCCCGGAAUGGUCUGGAGAAGCACUUAGCAUUAAAAUGAAACGUAAAUAUAACCUUCAGUUUUUACCCUAAAAUUACCAAAACAUGUAAGACUUCUCUCAAUUUUCAUGAAAAGUGACUUAAAUCAGUUAGAAAAUGGCUUCAUAUGAAGGAGUAUGUCUAAUUUAUAGUAAUUUUUAUUGAAAAAUAACAUUUCAUAACUACACCAGACCCCUCAUCGCUGAAGCUUAGAAACUUACCGUUUUAUAAAAUACAGCUUUAUUUUCAUUUAAAAUCAUCCGCAAACGUCCCAGAACGGUGUGGAGAAGCUCUGAGGUUCCAAAUGAAACGUAAAUAUCACCUUCAGUUUUUACCCUAAAAUUACCAAAACAUGUAAGACUAUAGUCUUACCUUCAUCACUGUUUUUGGACCAUUCUUAAAUUCUAUUUAUUUUCAUGAAAAGUGACUUAAAUCAGUUAGAAAAUGGCUUCAUAUGAAGGAGUAUGUCUAAUUUAUAGUAAUUUUUCUUAAAAAAUAACAUUUCAUAAGUACACCAGACGCCUCCCCUAAAUGGUAGAAACUUACCUUUUUAUAAAACAAAGCUUUAUUUUCAUCAAAAAUCUUCCGCAAACGUCCCGGAAUGGUCUGGAGAAGCACUUAGCAUUAAAAUGAAACAUAAAUAUAGCCUUCAGUUUUUACCCUAAAAUUACCAAAACAUGUAAGACUAUAGUCUUACCUUCAUCACUGUUUUUGGACCGUUCUUAAAUUCUUUUUAUUUUCAUGAGAAGUGACUUAAAUCAGUUAGAAAAUGGCUUCAUAUGAAGGAUUAUGUCUAAUUUAUAGCAAUUUUUCUUGAAAAAUAACAUUUCAUAACUACGCCAGACCCCUCAUCGCUGAAGCUUAGAAACUUACCGUUUUAUAAAAUACAGCUUUAUUUUCAUUUAAAAUCAUCCGCAACCAUCCCAGAACGGUGUGGAGAAGCUCGGAGGUUCCAAAUGAAACGUAAAUAUCACCUUCAGUUUUUACCCUAAAAUUACCAAAACAUGUAAGACUAGUCUUACCUUCAUCACUGUUUUUGGACCAUUCUUAAAUUCUAUUUAUUUUCAUGAAAAGUGACUUAAAUCAGUUAGAAAAUGGCUUCAUAUGAAGGAGUAUGUCUAAUUUAUAGUAAUUUUUCUUGAAAAAUAACAUUUCAUAAGUACACCAGACGCCUCCCCUAAAUGGUAGAAACUUACCUUUUUAUAAAACAAAGCUUUAUUUUCAUCAAAAAUCUUCCGCAAACGUCCCGGAAUGGUCUGGAGAAGCACUUAGCAUUAAAAUGAAACAUAAAUAUCACCUUCAGUUUUUACCCUAAAAUUACCAAAACAUGUAAGACUAUAGUCUUACCUUCAUCAGUGUUUUUGGCCCGUUGUUAACUUCUCUCAAUUUUCAUGAAAAGUGACUUAAAUCAGUUAGAAAAUUACUUUAUAUGAAGGAUUAUGUCCAAUUAUUUGUAAUUUUUCUUGAAAAAUAACAUUUCCUAACUACACCAGACCCCUCAUCGCUUAAGGUUAGAAACCUACCUUUCUAUAAAAUACAGCGUUAUUUUCAUGAAAAAUCAUGUGAAAACAUCCAGGAACGGUGUGGAGAAGCUCUGUGUUUCCAAAUGAAACGUAAAUAUCACCUUCAGUUUUUACCCUAAAAUUACCAAAACAUGUAAGACUAUAGUCUUACCUUCAUCAGUGUUUUUAGACCGUUCUUAACUUCUCUCAAUUUUCAUGAAAAGUGACUUAAAUCAGUUAGAAAAUGGCUUCAUAUGAAGGAGUAUGUCUAAUUUAUAGUAAUUUUUAUUGAAAAAUAACAUUUCAUAACUACACCAGACCCCUCAUCGCUGAAGCUUAGAAACUUACCGUUUUAUAAAAUACAGCUUUAUUUUCAUUUAAAAUCAUCCGCAAACGUCCCAGAACGGUGUGGAGAAGCUCUGAGGUUCCAAAUGAAACGUAAAUAUCACCUUCAGUUUUUACCCUAAAAUUACCAAAACAUGUAAGACUAUAGUCUUACCUUCAUCAGUGUUUUUGGCCCGUUGUUAAAUUCUCUCAAUUUUCAUGAAAAGUGACUUAA